rnacentral:rRNA from 1 species
GGUUAAGCGACUAAGCGUACACGGUGGAUGCCCUGGCAGUCAGAGGCGAUGAAGGACGUGCUAAUCUGCGAAAAGCGCCGGCGAGGUGAUAUGAACCUUUGACCCGGCGAUGUCCGAAUGGGGAAACCCAGUGUGAUUCGUCACACUAUCGUUAACUGAAUACAUAGGUUAACGAGGCGAACCGGGGGAACUGAAACAUCUAAGUACCCCGAGGAAAAGAAAUCAACCGAGAUUCCCCCAGUAGCGGCGAGCGAACGGGGAGCAGCCCAGAGUCUGAAUCAGCUUGUGUGUUAGUGGAAGCGUCUGGAAAGUCGCACGGUACAGGGUGACAGUCCCGUACACGAAAAUGCACAGGUUGUGAACUCGAAGAGUAGGGCGGGACACGUGGUAUCCUGUCUGAAUAUGGGGGGACCAUCCUCCAAGGCUAAAUACUCCUGACUGACCGAUAGUGAACCAGUACCGUGAGGGAAAGGCGAAAAGAACCCCGGCGAGGGGAGUGAAAAAGAACCUGAAACCGUGUACGUACAAGCAGUGGGAGCACCUUCG